rnacentral:misc_RNA from 1 species
GAUGAAGAACGUAGCGAAAUGCGAUAAGUAAUGUGAAUUGCAGAAUUCAGUGAAUCAUCGAAUCUUUGAACGCACAUUGCGCCCGCUAGUAUUCUGGCGGGCAUGCCUGUCCGCGCGUCAUUUCAACCCUCAAGCCCCCGGGCUUGGUGUUGGGGAUCGGCGAGCCUCCGCGCCCGCCGUCCCCUAAAUCUAGUGGCGGUCUCGCUGUAGCUUCCUCUGCGUAGUAGCACACCUCGCACUGGGAAACAGCGCGGCCACGCCGUUAACCCCCAACUUCUGAACGUUUGACCUCGGAUCAGGUAGGAAUACCCGCUGAACUUAAGCAUAUCAAUAAGCGGAGGA